AACAACCGAGCUUUGUCUAGCUGAAUUUUAGAGCUGUUCCUUUUCAGGUACAGUACUAGGUUUAUUCCUAAGUUGGAAGGAUGUACCGUUGGCCGAGGUUUCUGCCGAUGAUUUCUCAUACAAUUUACUCUUUCAUUUUCAGGGUCAUCUUCGAGGAACCUUUCAGCUUGUAGCCCUCAGCGAUCUCUGGAAGAAGAUGGGGCGUAAUGGUGUCAAGAAGAGCAUCUGGCACUUCCUCUGUGGCUGCUCCUCGCCUAAGACCAGCAAAUGAUUAAGAGCGAAAUGCAUGACACAGCGAGAGGUUAAGUGUCUAAGGGUUCUCAAUAGGUUGAAUUUAAAAAGUGGUUGUAAAGUUGUGAUUAGAUACUGCUAAGUUAUUUGGUUGAAUUGGUUUGUAAUCUUGUGGUUGUGUUGGGCCAGCUUCCUCUGCAGCAAGGAACAUGUAAACGAGGAAUGUCUUGUAACCAUAUUCGGAAAUAAAUCUCGCAUAUAUGUGUCAUACUCU
rnacentral:lncRNA from 1 species